rnacentral:rRNA from 1 species
UACGGAGGGGACUAGCGUUGUUUCGGAAUGAUCUGGGCGUAAAGCGCACGUAGGCGGAUUUGUAAGUCAGGGGUGAAAUCCUGGAGCUCAACUCCAGAACUGCCUUUGAUACUGAAGAUCUUGAGUUCGGGGAGAGGUGAGUGGAACUGCGAGUGUAGAGGUGAAAUUCGUAGAUAUUCGCAAGAACACCAGUGGCGAAGGCGGCUCACUGGCCCGAUACUGACGCUGAGGCACGAAAGCGUGGGGAGCAACAGGG